rnacentral:rRNA from 1 species
GACAGAGGUGCCGAGCGUUAGGCGGAAUCACUGGGCUUAAAGCGUGUGUAGGCGGGGCGUUAAGUGUCUUGUGAAAUCCCACGGCUCACCCGUGGAACUGCUGGACAUACUGGCGCUCUUGAGCCACUUAGGGGCAACUGGAACAAACGGUGGAGCGGUGAAAUGCGUAGAUAUCGUAAGGAAGACCAGUGGCGAAGGCGGGUCUCUGGACAGUUCCUGACGCUGAGGCACGAAGGUCAGGGGAGCAAACGGG